rnacentral:rRNA from 1 species
AGAAUCAACGCUGGCGGCGUGCCUCAGACAUGCAAGUCGAACGCGAAAGUCUCCUUCGGGGGACAAGUAGAGUGGCGCACGGGUGAGUAACACGUAGGUAAUCUACCUUUGGAUGGGGAAUAACAACCGGAAACGGUUGCUAGUACCGCAUAAUGCAGCGGCACCUAAUGGUGACAGUUGUUAAAGCGGGGGAUCGAAAGACCUCGCGUCUGAAGAGGAGCCUGCGGCGGAUUAGCUAGUUGGUAAGGUAAUGGCUUACCAAGGUCUAACGACUCC